rnacentral:lncRNA from 1 species
AAAAAGUAAGUCUUUUACAGAUUUUUGGCGAAUCAAAAUCUGUCCAAAGGUACUGGAUUUUCCUACUUAAAAGGGUCUCCUCUCACUCAUUUCAGGAACAUAAUCUAUCACACAACUGCUGGAUUUUUUAUACUUUAAGAAAACCCAACUUUAAGAGUAAAAUACAGCAGCUAAACAUAUCAAAUAGUAAUCUGAAAUCCAAGAAAGUGAGCUGAAAUUUGAGUGAUUUUGUGUGAGAUUUCUAGAAAAAAAAAACCCCUUUCAAGAAAUUAAAGUUAUUACAGUUAGUCCUGGGAUUCUUUCUUCUUUGAAUUUGUCGGUUCUCAAAUUGCUUCUGGGUCAUUUUCUUGGGCUGAAAUCUGCUGCUGAUUUGUUGUUAUUAGUGCUGAGACUGUUAGUCGCUAUAAACCAAAGUUCUUCACUGUUGGUUAACUUCUGCAUUUAUGUACUCUUCUAGUUCUCUUUCUUAAUGCAAUUUUAUUCAGCUGAACUAAAGUUAUGAAUGUGUUAAUCAUAUUUUAGAACUGCCUCACCAUAUUUGUCGG